AAACAAAUGUGGCUACUAGGUAAAUACAAAAAUCUGGGUUCAGUCAUUCGAAAAAGUGUGAGACAAAUGCGGGAACUAGCAAACAGAAUAGCUCUUAUUUAAUAAUCAUAUUUACAAUGCAAACAUAAAAGAUGAAGUUUGAGAGUGUCAAACGCGGGAAAAGUAAAUAUGACACAAAGUUAAUGUGUUUUCAGCGUGCAGACCAUCAGCAGACCAUCAUAACGACCAUCUUAAGCUCGGGAUAAUAUCAAAACACCCGGUCAAGCCGGAAGACACAUAUGUAGAGAUCCCGAUUCCUAUUCCGAUCCCUUUCCCUGUCUUUAUCCCGAAAUGUUCGUUCUUUUUGUGGACCUUUUCGGAACCCGCCCCGCCCCUUUUCAGCGACAAUGAACAUUUGGCAAACUACGAAACUACGGACUUUCGCAUUCAAGGAAAAGAAAGAAGCAGGCUGGCUGACAGCAAUCGCGUUUCACAUCGAUCUUUAUCUAUGGGUUUUCGAAUUUCCAUGUGCAGCAUCGUGUAGUUGUACUCGUUUUCCACGUUCGACAACAACAACCCGGAAAACUAAUUUAGCCACGCAGCUGGCACCGUUCGAAAUUAUUGUAAAAGGGCAAUAAAGCCGAUGCGAAUUGCAGGCGAAGUUCAAG